GAAAGAAAAGUAGUAAAGAAGCCUUUAUUUGUUGCAUAUACAUUACAGCACAUGAAAUUCUUUUUCACAUAUCCAAGCUUGUUAGGAAGCUGGGGUCAGAGUGCAGGGUCAGCCAUGAUACGGCACCCCUGGAGCAGAUAAGAUUAAGGGCCUUGCUCAAGGGACCAAUAGUGGCCGCUUGGUGGUGCUGGGGCUUGAACCUCCAACCUUCUGAUCAAUAACCCAGAGUGCCUUAACCAUUGAGCUAUUAUGAUUAUUUUAAUAAUUGAUUAGUCUUAAAACCCUACAUGUACAAACAAUUGUUAAGGUUUAUUUUUUUCCUAUAUAAAUGCUGCAUAUAAGUGUGAACUGCAUACAAAUAUACAGUGGAUAUAAAAAGUCUACACACCCAUGUUAAAAUGGCAAGUUUUUGUGAUGGAAAAAAAAAAUAAGACAAAACAUGUCAAUAAUUUCCACCUUCAAUAUGAAAUUACAAUGUAUAAAAAUUAGGUGAAAAACAAUCAGAAACAUUUAUAGGGAAAAAUAAAUAUAUUACAAUAAUCUGGUUGCACAAGUGUGCACGCCCCUAAACUAAUACUUUGUUGAAGCACCUUUUAAUUUUAAUACACCACUCAGUCUUUUUGGGUAAGAGUCUAUCAUUGUGGUACAUCUAGACUUAGCAAUAUCUUCCCACUCUUUCUUGCAAAAUCAUUCUAGAUCAAUAAAAUUGUCAGGGCAUCUUCUGUGCACAGCCCGCUUAGAGUCACCUCACAGAUUUUUUGUUGAAUUCAGGUCUGGGCUCUAGCUAGGCCAGUCAAAAACUUUUAUCUUCUUUUGGUUAAACCAGUUUUUUUUGUUGAUUUGGAUGUGUGCUUUAGGUCAUUGUUGUGCUGAAAGGCGAAAUUCCUUUUCACCUUCAGCUUACGAGCAGACACCUGAAGGUUUUGCACUAAAAUCAACCGGUAUUUGUAGCUAUUCAUGAUUCCCUCCACCUUGAUUAAAGCCAAAAUUCAUGCUGAAGAAAAUCAGCCCUAAAGCAUGAUGCUGCCACCACAAUGUUUCACCAUGGGUAUGGUGUACUUUAGUGAUGUGUGAUACAUACCAUGAAACAUGUAUGUAUACAUUUAAAAUAAGUAUAAAAACCCAUGUGAAAAUUUACCACAGCAUAUCUUAACUAAAAUUAAACCAAAACACCUAGCUACAGUAAGGUCAGUGUGUAUUGAAGAAUGUUUACAUAGCUAUCCUAUAAAAUAAGGAUAUGACAGUCCAUAUGACACAAAGCUCUAGUAUGGCCACUUGGAGUAUAGUUUUUAUAGUGAACCUUUAAAGCUCAUGAUCACCAUCUUCUGACAUUUUUGGAAUAGAGCUGUAAUAGAGGGGAAAAUAUUCUCUUUUAUGUUAUGAAAAGUAACAGUAUUUGGGUUUGGAAUGACAUAAGUGUCAUGAUUCCCCCUUGAAGCAGCGUGCUCUAAACGCGAAUGCGCAAGCACCUGCUUUUCCGUUGUUGACUGUAGUGACAUCUGGACACGUGUGUUUUGUUUAUGUUUCUGUCAUGUCUCCUCCCUGUUCCGUCAUUGGCUGGGAUUUCACGUGGGUCUGUAUUGCUCUCAGCUGCUAGCGGUUUAGACGCUGAUCAUGUCCGCAUAUAUACCGCGAUUAAUGUCAUAGAGUUAGUUUAGUUCGUAUCGUAGUCAUAGUCACGGUCCAUGUUUAGAAUUAGUUUAGUUCGUAUAGUAGUCACAGUCACGUUCCAUUUUUAAAGUUAGUUCGCGCUGGAUUAUCCGCUUCCAGUUCCUCAUCAUAGUUCGUUUCUUGUUUUGUUAAUUGACCCUGUUUUCCGUGACCACAACCUAGAUUCCAGCCUUGCCCCGUGUAUGCCUGUUUGCCAAUCGCCUGACCUCUUGCAUGUUUGUGGAUUACGUUUAGGAUCACGUUUUGGAUUUGUCUGCCUGUCUCUCUUUCAGAUAAACAACUGUCCAUCCUGCACUUGCAUCCGUCCUAUUUCUGCUCCGUCACGAUUCGUGACGAUAAGGGGUUGGUGUGGAUAUGGAGCCCAUCCACGCACAGUAGGCACGAGGCAGGAAUACACCAUGGAAGAGAUGGCAGACCAUCACAGGGCACCAGCAUUCCACUCAGCUUUAUAAUUAUCAGAUGGAUGAGUUAUGGUAGAGCAUGGAAAUCCACUGCAGUAAUUUCUUUUAUGGUGCCUUGCAUAAGUAAAUAAUUUUUAAUUAAUUUUGCAACAUAGUUGGCAAAGAGUCAAGGGAGCAUAAUUGGCCCUUAUUCGUGGGUGGAAGUGGGGGUACACAUCUCCUCACUGUUGACCAGAGUGACACCUGCCAUUUGUGCCAAAUUGGGCAGGUUGUGUUCAUCCAGAAGUGUAUGAGCUGCAGUUUGAAAAGACAGGGAAGCUAGCUUCACACAUCUCAGAAAAAGCAAGUGUUAGACCUCACUCUAGUAGCUGCUCUGAGAUUGGGUGAACUAGCUAAUAGAAGGGAACUAUUAGAUGGGUUAGGAUUUUAAUUAUAUUCAGUAACCAUACAUGAAGCUUACCUUGAAAUUUGGUGUCCAGCAAAAAGCAGUAGAGCAGUGAGGACGUACAGGUAUAGCUGAACAAGACGCUGACGAGGCAGUGUCAGCAAAACCAGACUCAGAAUAUAGCCUGAGAGAGAGCUAUGUUAGAAAACUGUGUAAGCAUACAAUCCCUAUAUAUAUAUAUACAAGCUCACACAGGAACUUUCUUCCAGUGGGGAGGUAGCAUAGAAACACUGGUUGGGAAGGGCAACCUAUUCAAAAUGACUGUGGAAGCAGAGAAGCAUAUUACAGAGAUCAUGAGAGAAGAAAGGUCAUAAGCAGACCAGGGAAUGGAAACUGAAAGAGUAAGAAUCAAAUGCAGACGAACAAGGACCAGUCCCAAUGCAUUGGAUACCUACAUCUAAACAAGCCCCCCAUUAUUCAAAUGUUGACAUGGCAAACAGGCAACUGAUAGCAUAAUAUUAUUCAUAGAUAUUAAUCUGUCACUCUGAUAGUUACACAACUAGUAUUCAUGCAUGUUUGAUGGCACACAGAAAAUAGUUUAAUGCAGACAUAUUAAAAUUUUUCCUGAGUCCCAUUUCCCAGUUUUUGAUUUUUUUUUUUUUUUAAGAUACUAAGAAAGAAAAAAAGUAAAACGUCCUUCAAUUCUAAUUUUUUUUUUUUUUAUUAAUCAGAGUCUAAGUAGCAAUUGUGUGGUCCUUUCAAUCUGUAAUUUUUUUUUUUUUUUUUUU